rnacentral:rRNA from 1 species
UGAGGAAUAUUGGUCAAUGGACGGAAGUCUGAACCAGCCAAGUAGCGUGCAGGAAGACGGCCCUAUGGGUUGUAAACUGCUUUUGUAUGGGGAUAAAGUCAAUCACGUGUGAUUGUUUGCAGGUACCAUACGAAUAAGGACCGGCUAAUUCCGUGCCAGCAGCCGCGGUAAUACGGAAGGUUCGGGCGUUAUCCGGAUUUAUUGGGUUUAAAGGGAGCGUAGGCCGGAGAUUAAGUGUGUUGUGAAAUGUAGACGCUCAACGUCUGACUUGCAGCGCAUACUGGUUUCCUUGAGUACGCACAACGUUGGCGGAAUUCGUCGUGUAGCGGUGAAAUGCUUAGAUAUGACGAAGAACUCCGAUUGCGAAGGCAGCUGACGGGAGCGCAACUGAAGCUGAAGCUCGAAGGUGCGGGUAUCGAACAGGAUUAGAUACCCUGGUAGUCCGCACAGUAAACGAUGGAUGCCCGCUGUUGGUACCUAGUAUCAGCGGCUAAGCGAAAGCAUUAAGCAUCCCACCUGGGGAGUACGCCGGCAACGGUG